UACGAACUGUGCGAACGUUAUUCGGAAUCACUGGGCUUAAAGGGUGCGUAGGCGGCUGCCUAAGUCAGGUGUGAAAUCUCCCGGCUCAACCGGGAAACUGCGCUUGAUACUGGGCGGCUCGAGUGAGGUAGGGGUGUGUGGAACUUCCGGUGGAGCGGUGAAAUGUGUAGAUAUCGGAAGGAACGCCAGCAGCGAAAGCGGCACACUGGGCCUUUUCUGACGCUGAGGCACGAAGGCCAGGGGAGCAAACGGG
rnacentral:rRNA from 1 species